rnacentral:rRNA from 1 species
UACGUAGGGGGGCAAGCGUUUGUCCGGAUUUAUUGGGCGGUAAAGAGCGUGUAGGCGGCUAGAUAGGUCCGUUGUGAAAACUCGAGGCUCAACCUCGAGACGUCGAUGGAAACCAUCUGGCUAGAGUCCGGAAGAGGAGAGUGGAAUUCCUGGUGUAGCGGUGAAAUGCGCAGAUAUCAGGAAGAACACCCGUGGCGAAGGCGGCUCCUCUGGUACGUGACUGACGCUGAGACGCGAAAAGCUGGGGAGCAACAGG